rnacentral:rRNA from 1 species
GAUGAACGCUGGCGGCGUGCCUAAUACAUGCAAGUCGAGCGAACAGACGAGGAGCUUGCUCCUCUGACGUUAGCGGCGGACGGGUGAGUAACACGUGGAUAACCUACCUAUAAGACUGGGAUAACUUUGGGAAACCGGAGCUAAUACCGGAUAAUAUAUUGAACCGCAUGGUUCAAUAGUGAAGGACGGUUUUGCUGUCACUUAUAGAUGGAUCCGCGCCGCAUUAGCUAGUUGGUAAGGUAACGGCUUACCAAGGCAACGAUGCGUAGCCGACCUGAGAGGGUGCUCGGCCACACUGGAACUGAGACACGGUCCAGACUCCUACGGGAGGCAGCAGUAGGGAAUCUUCCGCAAUGGGCGAAAGCUUGACGGAGCAACGCCGCGUGAGUGAUGAAGGUCUUCGGAUCGUAAAACUCUGUUAUUAGGGAAGAACAAAUGUGUAAGUAACUAUGCACGUCUUGACGGUACCUAAUCAGAAAGCCACGGCUAACUACGUG